rnacentral:rRNA from 1 species
UACGUAGGGUGCAAGCGUUGUCUGGAAUUAUUGGGCGUAAAGAGCUCGUAGGCGGUUUGUUGCGUCGGCUGUGAAAUCCCGAGGCUCAACCUCGGGUCUGCAGUCGAUACGAGCAAACUAGAGUGUUGCAGGGGAGACUGGAAUUCCUGGUGUAGCGGUGAAAUGCGCAGAUAUCAGGAGGAACACCGGUGGCGAAGGCGGGUCUCUGGGCAACAACUGACGCUGAGGAGCGAAAGCGUGGGGAGCGAACAGG